AGAGUUUGAUCCUGGCUCAGAACGAACGCUGGCGGCAGGCCUAACACAUGCAAGUCGAGCGCACCUUCGGGGAUAGCGGCGGACGGGUGAGUAACGCGUGGGAAUGUGCCCUUCUCUACGGAAUAGCCUCGGGAAACUGGGAGUAAUACCGUAUACGCCCCUUGGGGGAAAGAUUUAUCGGAGAAGGAUCAGCCCGCGUUGGAUUAGGUAGUUGGUGGGGUAGUGGCCUACCAAGCCUACGAUCCAUAGCUGGUUUGAGAGGAUGAUCAGCCACACUGGGACUGAGACACGGCCCAGACUCCUACGGGAGGCAGCAGUGGGGAAUCUUAGACAAUGGGGGCAACCCUGAUCUAGCCAUGCCGCGUGAGUGAUGAAGGCCUUAGGGUUGUAAAGCUCUUUCAGCUGGGAAGAUAAUGACGGUACCAGCAGAAGAAGCCCCGGCUAACUCCGUGCCAGCAGCCGCGGUAAUACGGAGGGGGCUAGCGUUGUUCGGAAUUACUGGGCGUAAAGCGCACGUAGGCGGACCAGAAAGUUGGGGGUGAAAUCCCGGGGCUCAACCUCGGAACUGCCUUCAAAACUAUUGGUCUGGAGUUCGAGAGAGGUGAGUGGAAUUCCGAGUGUAGAGGUGAAAUUCGUAGAUAUUCGGAGGA
rnacentral:rRNA from 1 species